UAAUUCUCUUAAUAUCUAGUAUUGCCUGUUUUUGUCAAUAUGAUUGUCGUAUACAGUAUAGAUUAUUUUUAAAUGCUAAAAUGUGAGAGUAUACCGUAUAUUGUGUGAGAGCUACCCUGCCAAAUGCAGGUUUGGCAAUCACGUUAUUGAAAUUCCUAUGCGAUUGGCUUUAGCGAUUUCUAGACAUGGAUGGAUUCACAAGUAAUUGAGAAAUUUGUAAGCAAUUGGUAGUGAAGUUGUGGUAUCCAAUUUGUCUUGAAUUGGUUGACACAUUUUUUUGUUAACUUGAAUGUAAGUAUCUAAAAGAUGUCUCGAUCAAUUCAAGUGCAUAUUGUAAUGUCACAACUUGUUAAGAUUCGAGAGUAAAGUAAUGUCCAAAUACUUAAUUGGAAAAUUUCACUUAACUUGCCUACAUAGAUGUAAGUUGAAUUGUAGCACAUGGUUGGUUGAAUAAGAAUACUUUGUGUUGUUUCUUUUUUGACGGAGCUUUGCGCAAGACAACAAGGGAUUGAUACAAGAUUCUACCAACAAUAACGGAUUGAUAUGAGCUUGGAGUAAUAAAAUUGAUAAUUAGUCAUAUAAUUUUAAGGUUAUAUAUGUUUUUGCUUAUUAUAAAUGUAUCAAAUUUUUGUUUUAGUCUCUUAGAAUUUUCUUUCAUUGUGGAGAAGUGAAGUUAUUUGAUUUGCAAACCGUCAUAUUUAUGAAGAAAAAAAACUAAGAGUGAAUCAUCAAAUUACUUCUUGAAUUUGCAAGGACCAAUUUCGUCCUCCAUUUUGUCGUUGUAAUUGAAUAUUGGGCUGUGAUGUACACUAGUUAUUUGGUUCUCCCACAUGACCAUUUUGUCGCAUAUGAAAUAAAAAUAAACGAGAUUGGGAACCUAUCCUAGACCGUAAGCAAUCUCAAUAAACACUUAUCCUAAGCUUAACGCACAUGAGCAUAUGAAACUAUGAUCACCAUAACUCAACCCAUUUGAGUUUAUAUUGUUUUUUAUCUGCACAACUCCAUCGGACUCCUUUUGUCGUCGUGCUGGACUUGCAUUGGAAAAAUGACUGUCCACUACUGACGGGAACCUCAUCAACUCCACUAUUGACGAGGAGUUGGAGAGUCACGGCCUAUGUUAAUUGAUUUCUUAUAAUUAACAUAUUCUUAUCAUAUAUGUUAUAGCAAUAUUAUCAGAUUAAUUCUCAAGAGGACAAUGUUGGUGUUACUCAAGGAACUGAUGAGGAAAAUGUUGGUGCUACUCAAGGAAAUGAAGAAGAUAAUGUUGUUGCUACCGAAGAAGAAAAUGUGACUCAAGAAACACAACCUUACGAACCAGAACCAGCUACUUAAGCAAAUAAAACUUCAACAACCCAACAAACUUAGAAAAAUGCAGCAACUCAAUUCAUGGAGUUUAUCUCAACAUAUUAGUUUAAAUUAUGCUUUUGAAAAUGUAAUAUUAAACUUGUUUAAAUUAUGCCCCUAGUUGGGUUUCUUUUUGACUAUUUAAUAUUUAAGAACCUCCUUCGACUUAUGACUUGUUAAUGGCUCUUAGUUAGGUUGCUUUUUGUCUAUGUAAUAUUUGUGCACUUGUAAUGCAAUGACUGAAUUAUGACUUAUUUGAUGAUAUUUUCAAGGAUCAAAUUACGUCUC
rnacentral:lncRNA from 1 species